rnacentral:misc_RNA from 1 species
GCACGCGUGUCGCACACGUACUCUUGUUCUCCAUCUCCAAUACCCUCCGCCUCCAUCCUCCCCUCUCACACUCUGGCUUCUCGCAGUUGGAGGCUCGAAGUGAAGCGGGUGCGAGCACCGUCAGCCGCAGGGGGAGGGGGCAGAGACACCGCCUCCAAGGCGCCAUCACCCUUGUCGAUAUUUGGGAGCUGGCCACGUGGCUGCACUGUUGGCUCUGACGAUGGAUAAGGCGAACCACGCCCAACACGGCCGGGCGCCAGGCAAGCAGAGCCGCUCUAUUUUUGUGUUCGGCGUUGCUAUCAUGAUCGUCAUCCUCUUCUUCAUCGGCCACAUGCUCACCAUACGCCCUAUCACCAGCAUAGAGGAUGAUAUACUCAUCAGCGCCUACACGCGUGCGCAGUUGGCAAUGCGCGAGGAGUGGGUCGAUGCAGACACCCGACUCGCCGAGCGUCCGAACCUCAUCGUGCGGAACCGGGCUCAGCUCCUGGGACUUUAUCGCCUCCGCGUGUUUGUUGUCGCCACGGAGGCAGAGGUACCCAAUGUAACCCGUGUGCUCAACUCCUUGAGAAGCUGUAAUUACUCGCAGCGUGUGUUUCCCAUCGACAUCGCCGUGCACGUGCUGGGCAACGCGUCCGCUAUGUCGUUUGUGCCCUGGCCUCAGGGUCGCCUCGACUUCUACGCGCACCGCCUGUACGACAAUGUCAGCCCGUCUGUGCCGAUGAUGAUGGCGGAUGUGUGGAAACCGCAGUCGGAUUUUGAGCUUGGGAUGCUGUUGACAGCCUCGGCGCAAGUGUCUCCGUACUGGUUCCAGUGGGUGAUGAGCGCGCUGCGUCACUACGCCCCGACCUCGACAGAGACCUCCAUUGAGCUUGCCACUGACAAGGACUCCGGGGCUAGGCGGGGACGGCUGCUCAGCCCACUGUCAACUACACUGAGCGGUUUGGCGCUGGGCAUGCCCGUCGCCGGGACAACGGUCAACGCAGUGUCCACCUUCUUCGCCCCUCACCCGAGCACCACGUCCAUCUUCACAGCUUCCUUUUGGAAAGCUAUGGUGGCGCGGGCAGGGCCUGGCACCGACGUCUACGCCGCUCCGGAAAGCUGGCAGGCCUUCCUCAGCACCUCCACGAGGGUGCCUGGCCACGGCGAACACCGGUUUCUGUACCCUCCACUCGACAAGUUAGGGGCGCUGGCCUGCGAGGAGACCACAACGUGCGCUAUACGCGCACUGAAUCCGUCAGAAGUGGCGGAGCUGGUGAACGUCCCGGCGUCGGUGGAUAAAGUGCCGCGGUUGCAAGAGCAGGGAACUUAACGCGGAGUCCGUGCAUAUGUUUUGCGGUUCGGGAUUACCCUCUCCCUCUGCUGUUCACUCACUCAUUGGGUCGCCCCUCAUAUCCUUGCAGCUGUUCUCCCCCAGUGGGGUGCUUCCCAAUGGAUGCCGUCCUCACGUGUUGGCGAAGAAGGAGGCUUGGCGCCGCGUGGUGGUCGGCAGAACUCUCGCCCGCUCCCCUCCUCCGUCCAUACUCCUCUCUUGUCCUUGCUCUUGGCCACCACCUCUACCUUGCUAUCAUCGCCGUUGCGACUCUCUGACGCUCUCCUCUCUCCACGCGCUCAGAACCCUCUGCGAUCCCUCUCUCUCUGAAAG